rnacentral:rRNA from 1 species
AUAACAGGUCUGUGAUGCCCUUAGAUGUUCUGGGCCGCACGCGCGCUACACUGACUGGUUCAACGAGUUUUUUUCCUUGGCUCCGAGAGGCCUGGGCAAUCUUUGAACGCCAGUCGUGAUGGGGAUAGAUUCUUGCAAUUUUCAAUCUUCAACGAGGAAUUCCUAGUAAACGCAAGUCAUCAACUUGCAUUGAUUACGUCCCUGCCCUUUGUACACACCGCCCGUCGCACCUACCGAUUGAAUGGUCCGGUGAAACCUUCGGAUUGUGGUUGUUUGGCCUCUUGUAGGACAUCGACCGUGAAAAGUUGUUUUAACCUUACCAUUUAGAGGAAGGUGAAGUCGUAACGAGGUUUCCGUAGGUGAACCUGCAGAAGGAUCA